rnacentral:rRNA from 1 species
GGCGGACGGGUGAGUAACACGUGGGUAACCUGCCUGACAGACUGGGAUAACGCUUGGAAACGAGUGCUAAUACCAGAUAGGCUCUUUGACCGCAUGGUCUUAGAGGGAAAGAAGCUUUCGCUUCACUGUCAGAUGGACCCGCGGCGCAUUAGCUAGUUGGUGAGGUAACGGCUCACCAAGGCGACGAUGCGUAGCCGACCUGAGAGGGUGACCGGCCACACUGGGACUGAGACACGGCCCAGACUCCUACGGGAGGCAGCAGUAGGGAAUCUUCCACAAUGGGCGCAAGCCUGAUGGAGCAACGCCGCGUGAGUGAUGAAGGCCUUCGGGUUGUAAAACUCUGUCUUCUGUGACGAACAAGCCUGUGAGUGGAAAGCUCAGGCCCUGACGGUAACAGAGGAGGAAGCCACGGCUAACUACGUGCCAGCAGCCGCGGUAAUACGUAGGUGGCGAGCGUUGUCCGGAAUCACUGGGCGUAAAGCGCGCGCAGGCGGCGAUCUACGUCUGGGGUGAAAGCCCGGAGCUCAACUCCGGGACUGCCUUGGAUACGGGAUCGCUUGAGGAUCGGAGAGGCAAGGGGAAUUCCACGUGUAGCGGUGAAAUGCGUAGAGAUGUGGAGGAACACCUGUGGCGAA